UACGUAGGUGGCAAGCGUUGUCCGGAUUUACUGGGCGUAAAGAGCGCGCAGGCGGUCGUUCAAGUCGAGUGUGAAAUCCCCCGGCUCAACUGGGGUGGGACACUCGAUACUGAUCGACUCGAAGGCAGGAGAGGGAAGUGGAAUUCCCGGUGUAGUGGUGAAAUGCGUAGAUAUCGGGAGGAACACCAGUGGCGAAGGCGACUUCCUGGCCUGUUCUUGACGCUGAGGCGCGAAAGCUAGGGGAGCAAACGGG
rnacentral:rRNA from 1 species